AUUGAACGCUGGUGGCAGGCCUAACACAUGCAAGUCGAGCGGAUGAAGGGAGCUUGCUCCUGGAUUCAGCGGCGGACGGGUGAGUAAUGCCUAGGAAUCUGCCUGGUAGUGGGGGAUAACGUCCGGAAACGGGCGCUAAUACCGCAUACGUCCUGAGGGAGAAAGUGGGGGAUCUUCGGACCUCACGCUAUCAGAUGAGCCUAGGUCGGAUUAGCUAGUUGGUGGGGUAAAGGCCUACCAAGGCGACGAUCCGUAACUGGUCUGAGAGGAUGAUCAGUCACACUGGAACUGAGACACGGUCCAGACUCCUACGGGAGGCAGCAGUGGGGAAUAUUGGACAAAGGGCGAAAGCCUGAUCCAGCCAUGCCGCGUGUGUGAAGAAGGUCUUCGGAUUGUAAAGCACUUUAAGUUGGGAGGAAGGGCAGUAAGUUAAUACCUUGCUGUUUUGACGUUACCAACAGAAUAAGCACCGGCUAACUUCGUG
rnacentral:rRNA from 1 species